GACGAACGCUGGCCGCGUGCUUAACACAUGCAAGUCGAACGGAAAGGCCCUGCUUUUGUGGGGUGCUCGAGUGGCGAACGGGUGCUUAACACUUGAGUAACCUGCCCUUGACUUUGGGAUAACUUCAGGAAACUGGGGCUAAUACCGGAUAGGAGCUCCUGCUGCAUGGUGGGGGUUGGAAAGUUUCGGCGGUUGGGGAUGGACUCGCGGCUUAUCAGCUUGUUGGUGGGGUAGUGGCUUACCAAGGCCUUGACGGGUAGCCGGCCUGAGAGGGUGACCGGCCACAUUGGGACUGAGAUACGGCCCAGACUCCCACGGGAGGCAGCAGUGGGGAAUAUUGCACAAUGGGCGGAAGCCUGAUGCAGCAACGCCGCGUGCGGGAUGACGGCCUUCGGGUUGUAAACCGCUUUCGCCUGUGACGAAGCGUGAGUGACGGUAAUGGGUAAAGAAGCACCGGCUAACUACGUG
rnacentral:rRNA from 1 species